ensembl:lncRNA
CUUCUUUAAUGGACAGUGCCUGCAUUUGAGAAUAUUCAUCUUCAUAAUGUGUGAAAUAUUUGCCAUGCUUUCAUCUGCAUUUCAAGUGGUUCCACAAGAAAAUGUACAUGUGGGUACUAAUGAAGAUUUCUUUGAGGAGAAAAAUACCUAAGUUCUAACCCAGUAGAACUACUCUCAGAAUCCCCAAAAUGUGUUGCUGUCAGGUUAGGAAAAGUAAUCAACUUCAUCUCCCCUUGGGUACUUUAGAGGCUGAGAGUGUUUACCAAGAGUUGGAAGCCAGAAUGGAUCACUUGGUGAUUGUCGGAUAGUCAUGACUACAGUGGGAGUUACUGUGUCAUGGAAAAACAAGGAUCACUGUACUUGAACAAGAGAAGAUUGAGCGUGGAGUCAGAAGUUGCCUGGGUCUCUUGAAAAGUCCAAUAAAUCUCUUCUUUGGAGAACUGGAUGACCUUCAUUCCUUGAGAAGGAAAUGGUUUCAGAGUUCUGCCAAUUGUUGGUAUCUGAGCUUGGGCAACAAUACAUUCGUUCACAAGUAUAACUCCAGAUCUUCCAUCAGAAGAGCAGUUUCUCCAUGUCUUGAAAUUUUGUUAACCAUAAAAUUUGUUUCUGUGGAUGAACAAAACUGAGCACAAAUGCUGAUGUAUCCAUUUAGAUCCAAGGCUGCAAAGUCUUCAAUCCUUUCCUUGACUAGACAACAGCAAAUCAGUCCAGGAUAAUCAUAUGUUUUUGUGCUUCCUAUAUAUUCAGCAAGCAAAAGGUUCAACGUUGAGUUAGAAACUAGGAUCAAGAAUUUCUCCAACAAUCUGACUUCGGAGUGGUGACAUUAAAGCUACUAUGAAUGCUGCUGUUGGGAAUACAGGUGUACAGAUAAAUGUUUCAUUGUGGACCAUGACAUCAGACCAUUCAAGUGGACCAUGACAUCAGACAGAAGAACUCAGAAGGUUUAGUCAUCUCAAACACCAUGAAUCUCACAAUUGAUAACGAAUCUCUGCCUACCAUGAGACAGUGUUGUUGGAGGACGAAAUCUGAAAAUCAUG